GGGAAUGUGGCUUAGUGGUAGAGUGCUUGCCUUGCAUGCAUGAAAUCCUGGGUUUGAUUCCUCAGUACCA
rfam:Dipodomys ordii contig_13196, whole genome shotgun sequence.